rnacentral:rRNA from 1 species
GAGUUUGAUUAUGGCUCAGAUUGAACGCUGGCAGGAUGCUGCUUUACACAUGCAAGUCGAACGGCAGCACGGACUUCGGUCUGGUGGCGAGUGGCAGACGGGUGAGUAAUGUAUCCGGAACGUGCCUAGUAGCGGGGAUAACUACGCGAAAGCGUAGCUAAUGCCGCAUACGCCCUUCGGGGGAAAGCGGGGGACGCCGGGACUCGCACUAUUAGAGCGGCCGAUAUCGGAUUAGCUAGUUGGUGGGGUAACGGCUCACCAAGGCGACGAUCCGUAGCUGGUUUGAGAGGACGACCAACCACACUGGGACUGAGACACGGCCCAGACUCCUGCAGGAGGCAGCAGUGGGGAAUUUUGGACAAUGGGAAACCCUGAUCCCAGCCAUCCCGCGUGUGCGAUGAAGGCCUUCAGGUUGCUAAAGCACUUUUGGCAGGAAAGAAACGACACGGGAUAAUACCCCGUCAACUGACAGUACCUGCAGAAUAAGCACCGGCUAACUACGAUGCCAGCAGCCGCGGUAAUACGUAGGGUGCAAGCGUUAAUCGGAAUUACUGGGCGUAAAGCGUGCGCAGGCGGUUCGGAAGAAGAUGUGAAAUCCAGAGCUUAACUUUGGAACUGCACAUUUUUUUAACUACCGAGCUAGAGUGUGUCAGAGGGAGGUGGAAUUCCGCGAUAACAGUGAAAUGGUAGAUAUGCGGAGGAACACCGAUAGCGAAGGCAGCCUCCUGGGACACUGACGCUCAUGCACGAAAGCGUGGGGAGCAAACAGGAUUAGAUACCCUGGUAGUCCACGCCCUAAACGAUGUCAACUAGCUGUUGGGGCCUUCGGGCCUUGGUAGCGCAGCUAACGCGUGAAGUUGACCGCCUACAGAGUACGGUCGCAAAGGAAUUAAAACUCAAAGAGAUUGACGGGGACCCCGCACAAGCGGUGGAUGAUGUGGAUUAAUUCGAUGCAGCACUUGAAAAACCUUACCUACCCUUGACAUGUCUGGAAUCCCGAAGAGAUUCGGGAGUGCUCGCAAAAGAGAACCGGAACACAGGUGCUGCAUGGCUGUCGUCAGCUCGUGUCGUGAGAUGUUGGGUUAAGUCCCGCAACGAGCGCAGCCCUUGUCAUUAGUUGCUACGAAGAGGGCACUCUAAUGAGACUGCCGGUGACAAACCGGAGAAGGUGGGGAUGACGUCAAGUCCUCAUGGCCCUUAUGGGUAGGGCUUCACACGUCAUACAAUGGUCAGGACCAAGAGAGGUCGCCAACCCGCGAGGGGAGCCAAUCCAGAAACCCGAUCGUAGUCCGGAUCGCAGUCUGCAACUCGACUGCGUGAAGUCAGAAUCAUAGUAAUCGCGGAUCAGCAUGUCGCGGUGAAUACGUUCCAGGUCUUGUACACACCGCCCGUCACACCAUGGGAGUGGGUUUUACCAGAAGUAGUUAGCAGCCUAACCGUAAGGAGGGCGAUUACCACGGUAGGAUUCAUGACUGGGGGUGAAGUCGUAACGGGUAA